GACGAACGCUGGCGGCGUGCUUAACACAUGCAAGUCGAACGGAAAGGCCCUGCUUUUGUGGGGUGCUCGAGUGGCGAACGGGUGAGUAACACGUGAGUAACCUGCCCUUGACUUUGGGAUAACUUCAGGAAACUGGGGCUAAUACCGGAUAGGAGCUCCUGCUUCAUGGUGGGGGUUGGAAAGUUUCGGCGGUUGGGGAUGGACUCGCGGCUUAUCAGCUUGUUGGUGGGGUAGUGGCUUACCAAGGCUUUGACGGGUAGCCGGCCUGAGAGGGUGACCGGCCACAUUGAGACUGAGAUACGGCCCAGCCUCAUACGGGAGGCAGCCGUCGGUAAUAUUGCACAAUGGGCGGACGCCUGACGGAUCAACGCCGAGUGCGGGAGGACGGAAUUCGGGUUGUAAACCGAUUUCGCCUGUGACGAAGCGUGAGGGACGGUAAUGGGUAAAGAAGUACCGGCUAACUACGU
rnacentral:rRNA from 1 species